rnacentral:rRNA from 1 species
CCUACGGGUGGCAGCAGUGAGGAAUAUUGGUCAAUGGGCUUACGCCUGAACCAGCCAAGUCGCGUGAGGGAAGACUGCCCUAUGGGUUGUAAACCUCUUUUGUCAGGGAGCAACGCCGGCUACGUGUAGCCGGACUGAGAGUACCUGAAGAAAAAGCAUCGGCAAACUCCGUGCCAGCAGCCGCGGUAAUACGGUGGAUGCGAGCGUUAUCGGGAUUUAUUGGGUUUAAAGGGUGCGUAGGCGGAAUGCCAAGUCAGCGGUAAAAUCGCGGGGCUCAACCUCGCUCCGCCGUUGAAACUGGCGGUCUUGAGUGGGCGAGAAGUAUGCGGAAUGCGUGGUGUAGCGGUGAAAUGCAUAGAUAUCACGCAGAACUCCGAUUGCGAAGGCAGCAUACCGGCGCCCAACUGACGCUGAAGCACGAAAGCGUGGGUAUCGAACAGGAUUAGAUACCCCGGUAGUC